rnacentral:rRNA from 1 species
CGCUGGCGGCGUGCCUAAUACAUGCAAGUCGAACGCACUCUCGUUUAGAUUGAAGGAGCUUGCUCCUGAUUGAUAAACAUUUGAGUGAGUGGCGGACGGGUGAGUACACGUGGGUAACCUGCCCUAAAGUGGGGGGAUAACAUUUGGAAACAGAUGCUAAUACCGCAUAAAACCUAACACCGCAUGGUGUAGGGUUGAAAGAUGGUUUCGGCUAUCACUUUAGGAUGGACCCGCGGUUGCAUUAGUUAGUUGGUGAGGUAAAGGCUCACCAAGACCGUGAUGCAUAGCCGACCUGAGAGGGUAAUCGGCCACACUGGGACUGAGACACGGCCCAGACUCCUACGGAGGCAGCAGUAGGGAAUCUUCCACAAUGGACGAAAGUCUGAUGGAGCAACGCCGCGUGAGUGAAGAAGGUUUUCGGAUCGUAAAACUCUGUUGUUGGAGAAGAAUGUAUCUGAUAGUAACUGAUCAGGUAGUGACGGUAUCCAACCAGAAAGCCACGGCUAACUACGUG